UAACGGCGAGUGAAGCGGCAAGAGCUCAAAUUUGAAAUCUGGCCCCCUCGGGGUCCGAGUUGUAAUUUGUAGAGGGUGCUUUGGCGUUGGCUGUGGUCUAAGUUCCUUGGAACAGGACGUCGCAGAGGGUGAGAAUCCCGUAUGUGGCCGCCAGUCUUCGCCGUGUAAAGCCCCUUCGACGAGUCGAGUUGUUUGGGAAUGCAGCUCUAAAUGGGAGGUAAAUUUCUUCUAAAGCUAAAUAUUGGCCAGAGACCGAUAGCGCACAAGUAGAGUGAUCGAAAGAUGAAAAGCACUUUGGAAAGAGAGUCAAAAAGCACGUGAAAUUGUUGAAAGGGAAGCGCUUGCAGCCAGACUUGCCCGCAGUUGCUCAUCCAGGCUCGCGCCUGGUGCACUCUUCUGCGGGCAGGCCAGCAUCAGUCCGGGCGGUUGGAUAAAGGCCUGCUAAAUGUACCUCUCCUCGGGGAGGACUUAUAGGGCAGGCGACAUGCAACCAGCCCGGAUUGAGGUCCGCGCAUCUGCUAGGAUGCUGGCGUAAUGGCUGUAAGCGGCCCGUCUUGAAACACGGACCAAGGAGUCUAACAUCUAUGCGAGUGUUUGGGUGUCAAGCCCGAGCGCGCAAUGAAAGUGAACGGAGGUGGGAACCCCUCGGGGCGCACCAUCGACCGAUCCUGAUGUCUUCGGAUGGAUUUGAGUAUGAGCAUAGCUGUUGGGACCCGAAAGAUGGUGAACUAUGCCUGAAUAGGGUGAAGCCAGAGGAAACUCUGGUGGAGGCUCGCAGCGGUUCUGACGUGCAAAUCGAUCGUC
rnacentral:rRNA from 1 species